GCAUUGGUGGUUCAAUGGUAGAAUCUCGCCUGCCACGCGGGAGGUCCGGGUUCGAUUCCCGGCCAAUGCA
rnacentral:tRNA from 1 species